ensembl:lncRNA
CUGUCUUUUCAUAUAUACCAGGAAUCCUUGCUAACAAUCAUGCUUCCAUUUCCACCCCACCUCACCCCACCCCACCCCCGUCAUUGAAUAAGGAUAUACAUAGCUACACAGCUACACAUAAUUUUUUCCUUUACGUUUCAAAGCUAUGAGAUUGAAAACCCAGGCAGUAUUUUCACUGGAAUUCACACUUGGUUUAGAAUUGGGAAACUAAGGUUUGAGACCCAGCCUUGACAUUUAUUGAAUGUGUGGAACUCUCUUCUCUGGGCCUGUUUCCUGAUAUGUAAAAUAAAAGUAUUGGAGCUCUUGAAUUCUAUAGUUCUACAUUGGAUGUCUUUCUUACUAGGGUAAUCCUCCUUCCCUUUUUGAAAAGUCCACAACUCAAAAUGUCAUAUUUCUUUUAAACUUAUUUUUUUUUCCAUGGUGUCAAGAAACAGUGAAAUAAGGUAUUAUAUAGGAGCCUUUUUGUUCCCUGCACACCCAGAAAGGUACAGAAGAACCAGGGAGAAUGAGUGAUUUUUGCCAUCUUAGUCUUUCAUUACUGAUAGAUGGGUGAGUUGUCCACUGCCUUUAUAACCUAUCAAGGAGGAUGUUGCUGCCAUAAUAUUAGUAGGAGCAAUGCUUUUAUUUUAAAAAAGAAAUGAGGGUGAUGAAGGGGAGAGAGCUCUCAAAUUAGGUUAGCAUUAUGUCUAAAUAUUUAAGUCCAUUGGACUGAGGAUGUAAAAAUUAAGGAGUCCUGGUCUUUCCCAAAUGGAUUAGCUUUCCAUUGCAGGUCUCCUGAAGUUUUAAAAUGAUACAUUCUGGAAAUUCCUAUGUCGGUUGUAUUUUCCUUUCCCUCCAUCCUUUCCCCCCCAUCUCCUGACUCCUGAAUAAAGGGUAAUAAGAACACAAUGUAAGCAGUAAAUUGAAGGUGGUGUUGGGAGUGUUGGUUAAGUAAUCAAAAAGGUUGAGCAAAUAUAGACAAUCUUAAAAACAACAAUUGCAUCCAGAAGUUUGGGGGUUUGACUCAACUGCCCUUCUCAGUCCACUCUUCCACCGAUCUCUCUGGAUGACCAUCUUUCCUCUUCCUUUCCUCAACCCUUUGAGCCCAACCAUAGAGCUAAGCUGCAAAUGUCAGCAGUCCUCGGUCCUUAGCCUUGCUCCGCAGCUGCCUUUAGCUCCAGGUUUGGCCUACUGAACAGGAUGAGUGAUUUCUGAUCUGGAGGCUAGUCCCCCAUGAAUUAAAUGAGAGCAAGUGAUCCCCACCAGCCUCUUAACUCAUCCCCUUUUCCUUCCCAUCUAUAUCAUGAACAUGCCCAGUGCCUUGUCCUGGGGAAGGACUUAGCUCCUUGCAGUUUCUCAUUUCUGAAUGCUGCCUGGUGCUUUUCCAGUACUGCCUUUCUUUUUGUUUUCAUUUCUUUCCUUACCAACAAACCUCGCAUUCAUUUUGUUGCUGUAUCAUUGUGGAGUAUGUAUUUAUUGUGUUUUACAUAUAUGUGUACAAAUACAAACCUAUAUAUAUAUAUAUAUGAAAAAUGUCAACGCAUGAAUAUAUGUACAGUAGAUAUUUUAAAGAGCUAUUUAUCAAAAAAGAUGUGUGUUAUAAAGUAAACAGAGUCUAUAUUUUAUAUAUGAUGUAGAUAGGAAAAAAAUAGCAUUUAAGUUAUAGAAAGAGGAACUUUUUUUUUUCUUUUGGUAGCAAAAAAGGACAAUGAAUGUGGCCAUUCUUGGUGUUUUGAGUCUAUGCUCUGUGAUCCUCAUGUUUUAGCAACCAGACUGCUUAGUGAGGAAACCUUUCUUCCCUAUCUUGUCUCUUUGGGCCACUUGCUUUUCACUUCGGAGGGGCUCUCUUAGCACUGCUCUGGGGAACAUUGUUUUCCUCACUCAGCCACCUGGUAUGUGAUGCAUAAAACAUGGUUUCCGGCUGUUCUACAUGUUUGCAUUAUGGGAUAAAGAAACUCAAAGUGGCAAAUAAAGACAUAAGAG